UAUUUAGUUGCAUACCUUAUAUAUCAUCUUUUGUAUUUGAUGAUGUUAGUAUUAUGAAUGUGAUAAAUGAUGUAAAGAGAGAUUAUGUUGAAUGUAAAAGUUUAUAUUUUGGGAUAUCAUGUGAUGUAAAGGAAAUGAUGAAACGAUGUAAAAGAAUUUAAAUAUUGAAUGCAUGUAUGUGAUUAAAAGUAAUCAUAGUACUUGUAUGUUUGCAAUAGUUUAGAAUCUUUCACUUUUGGCUAUUGCUUGCCCUUGUACAAGUCAUAUAUGUUUA
rnacentral:lncRNA from 1 species